rnacentral:rRNA from 1 species
AUUGAACGCUGGCGGCAGGCCUAACACAUGCAAGUCGAGCGGUAGAGAGGUGCUUGCAUCUCUUGAGAGCGGCGGACGGGUGAGUAAUGCCUAGGAAUCUGCCUAGUGGUGGGGGAUAACGUUCGGAAACGGACGCUAAUACCGCAUACGUCCUACGGGAGAAAGCGGGGGAGUCUUCGGACCUCGCGCCAUUAGAUGAGCCUAGGUCGGAUUAGCUAGUUGGUGAGGUAAUGGCUCACCAAGGCGACGAUCCGUAACUGGUCUGAGAGGAUGAUCAGUCACACUGGAACUGAGACACGGUCCAGACUCCUACGGGAGGCAGCAGUGGGGGAAUAUU